ACCCUCUGUGGGAGGAGAGGCGGGCGUGAAGGAGGCAUGGGCUUCCUGGGCUUCUUAUCCUUGGGAAGCCUCUGGGUUACGUGCAUCUGGCCCCUUGUCACCAAUGCCAUUCUGGGUGACCCUAGGAGGCCCCACCCUUUGCUGAAGCAUCAGCUUCCCGGCGUGUCACACAAGAGGCAGGCGAACGGCGAACUUCAGAGCAGCGGGCUGUGGAUGUGUCACCAGCAUGCUGAGCCUCUCGUAAUCCCAAGGCACAGAGCUCAUCUCCAAAUCUCAAUGCACCCGAAUGCUUCGGUCCACCAAGCUCUGUCCUCAACCCUAGCCACACGUCCAAGCAGAGACCGGAGCCCUCAGCCAGACUCCACCGCCAGUCGCAUCUUCCCUCACAGAGCCACAAGCGACGCCUGAGACCCCAUCUCUAGGACUAAGACCUCGGUCCAUCCACCACUGAGCUCCAUCAGCCCAGCCCUCCAGGGUAGUGCCCUGGGCCCUCACCUUGAAAGACUCGAAGAAGCCACCCCCACCGCUGCCGUUCUCCAUCUUGUCGUCGUCGCCGCCGAGGCCCAUCAUGGACUGGCUGUGAAUAUGGAGCUCCUCGUAGAGCGUCUCAAGAAGGGCGGCACGCGUCCGCUCCUGUGGGUCAGCCAUGAGAGACCCCAGAGAUCAACCCCCCGCCCCCGCCUGGCAAUUCCAAUCCCCGGCUUCAUCUUCCUUUACAGCUAGCUGUACCUUUACAGAUAGCUGUGCUGGUUCCCCAAUUCUCCAGUUCAUGCCCCCCUCUUGCAUGGCAUCUUCACCCCCACCCCAUGCGGACACUCCCCUCUGCUUCCUCUCACUCGCCCUCCCCAAUCGGCACCCCCAAAGCCAAGGUCCGAGCAUGCCUUUUCCCUCUGGUGGGGUUGUCUGUCCAUCCCUCCAGCCCUCGCUCACCUCCAGUUUGGCAAACUUCUCUGCUUUGUAACACGCA